rnacentral:tRNA from 1 species
GCGGAUGUGGCGGAACUGGUAGACGCGCAGCGUUCAGGUCGCUGUGAUGAAAACAUCGUGAAGGUUCGACCCCUUUCAUCCGCACCA